rnacentral:rRNA from 1 species
GAUGAACGCUAGCGGGAGGCCUAACACAUGCAAGCCGAGCGGUAUUGUUUCUUCGGAAAUGAGAGAGCGGCGUACGAGUGCGGAACACGUGUGCAACCUGCCUCUAUCUGGGGGAUAGCCUUUCGAAAGGAAGAUUAAUACUCCAUAACAUAUUGAACGGCAUCGUUUAAUAUUGAAAGCUCCGGCGGAUAGAGAUGGGCACGCGCAAGAUUAGCUAGUUGGUGAGGUAACGGCUCACCAAGGCGAUGAUCUUUAGGGGGCCUGAGAGGGUGAUCCCACACACUGGUACUGAGACACGGACCAGACUCCUACGGGAGGCAGCCGUGAGGAAGAUUGGUCAAUGGGUGCAAGCCUGAACCAGCCAUCCCGCGUGAAGGACGACUGCCCUAUGGGUUGUAAACUUCUUUUGUAUAGGGAUAAACCUACCCUCGUGAGGGUAGCUGAAGGUACUAUACGAAUAAGCACCGGCUAACUCCGUGCCAGCCGCCGCAGUAAUAC